CUUUGCCAUCUCUUUAGAAAACAGCUCUUGAGGCAUAGUGAGGUGCAAAUAAUUCUUGGGAAUAACCUUUCUGAUGUCUUGAAUUGCUCCAAUGAUGCCUUGGAGAAAAUCUGCUUUAUGGGAUGAAGACUGCUCACUGCAGGAGAAAAGCUCGCCUGUGCUUCUGGAGGAAUUAAUUCCUGCAAGCCUCAAGAGCUGUUUAACAGAAGCUUUGACACUAGCUUGGUAGCAAGUGUCACAUUCUUUUUGGUUUUAACCACAUUUUUUGGAUGGUGUUUGUCCCAGCCCCAGAUCUGCUACUUCUAUGAAGGCUGUUUCAGUUCAUCGAAGGAGAAGGGAGCAAAGAGAAGAAAGGUCCCAGUUACUUCCACCCAUCAGUAGCAGAACGUAAAAGAUACCUUUGCACCUUGAACUUAAGCUAGAGUGGAUGCUUCUAUUUAGAAAGUAAAUUGGCUAGAAGAAGGUGAAGAAAAGGAAAUAAACACCAGUACAGAGGUG